GGGCACCUUCGGGGGCCUUCACCUGCGCCUUCGGGCGUACAGCAAACGGAAGACAGAAA
rfam:Pseudoruegeria aquimaris strain CECT 7680 genome assembly, contig: 0011